CCCAACAAGUCCCAUCCCCCACUCUUACCCAUGCAUUCCCACCCUACCUACCCCCUUUUCCCUCUCUCCUCAUACUUAGGUCGAGAGCCUUUCUUCAUCCACCAUUUUCAUCAUCUUUCAUUCUUCUUCUCCAAGUUAAGCUUCAAUCUUCAAGCCCUAAGUUCUUCCAAGUGUUAUUGAAGUUUUGUAUUCUUCAAGAUGUACUUCAAGUGUUAUUGACUUGGAUCUUCCACCUACAACCUUUCUUUCAUCAAGCAAACACCCAUAAGGGAAUCACUAAAACAGGUACCAACAAGCUUUUGAGGAUGAGACGCUAAGGCGGUGGACAAAUAUUUUUAUCAUCAUAACGAGAUUGAUUUUUAAACAUCUAACUCUUACAACAAUGUAACCUUUUCAAUUAUAUUUAUGAUGGUUGUGUUUGCUUUGGUCACUAUUAUGCAUUAUGUUAUGAUACAAUACAUGAAAGUCAUCCACCCCGGACGUUUCCACCAUCCUGGUUUGUGGGUGUGACAUAUGGCACUUGGAUAUCAGACCAUAUGGGGGAGCCCAUGGCUUUCCAAAUAAAGACCAUGGGGGAGCCCAUGUCAUAUAUGUGUAAGACCUUGGGGGGGAGCCUACGACAUCCCUAUAUGUUAUAUGCAUGGCUUACGUGAUUGACUUGGAUUAUGUGAUUAUGUGGAUUAUGUGGGGUAUGUUUUGGGGAACUCACUAAGCAUUAACUUACAGUUUGUUGGUUAUUACAGGUACUUCAGGGUCUAAGGGCAAGAGCUUGGCGUGAUGACACGGCAUGCACUCUCUGGCGUUUUAUUUGAGACACUCUGAUAUUAUGAAAAAUUUAUUUGAUGUUAUGAAUUUUGAAAACAAAUGUGAUUGGAAUUUUAUA